CCUUUUUAACUUUUGCCUUAAUUUUUUAUUUUAUGGAAGCGCUUCUGAAUCACCAAGAGCGCUUGGCUCAGUUGGUGAGGGAGUUGACCUUGUGACCCCAAGGUCAAAUUCAACCCCCAGCGCACCCACUUUGCUUUAUUUUGUUUCUUUUUCCUUUCUUUUAUUUAUUUUCCACCUAUUUAUCUCUCUUUCAUUUUAU
rnacentral:lncRNA from 1 species